AUGACGGUAGUGCCGCAGCCUGGGAAAGUUGGGUGGCCCCACACCCUCCAAUUCACGCUGCCUUCUAGUCGUGCCAACUCGAACCACCCUUCGGCUGUGCUGCUAAGCAUGGACCCCAGUGUUGUGGGUGGCAAAUCCCCUUUCUUCCUCCAGAGUCCCCGCUUCCCUUAGAUCAUUUCAAUAUGGUGAUACCCUCAUUAGCCGGCAGGAAAGGGGCGAAGGUCCCAGUCCUCAUUCUGCUGUGCCCACUGGCUGGAGAACACGCUGUGUGUGGUUGGGCAGGCCCCGGGAGGAGUCUCCAAGCCGUGUGCUCAGCACACGUGCGGUGUACACAGAAAAAUGACACGGAAAUAGAUGCAGGCAGGCCGGUCCCUGCUGUGAUUAAUGAGUAACUCCAAGUACAAGGCCAACCACAAUGGAUGCUGCAAAAACUGUUGACUGGGGCAAAAGAUUUUUUAUUUUUAUUUUUUUAAUUUCUUUACCCUUUUGUUGUUAUUGUUUGUAGGGGGUGCGAGAGGGUGGUGUGUGUUUUUCUCCCCCUGGUUUUCAUUUGCUCAAGCACACAGAAGAAGGGACUUUUGUUUACUCUAUCAAGAACAAAAGAAUUGUCAACAUACUAUAAACCGUGAGAAUUGCUGUUGUUGGUUGUUUUUUCUUUAAACAGUUAAACAGUAUAUUUGGUGGUCUCUUUGUCUCUUUUUAUUUCCAGUUUGAUCUUCUGGGUUUAGUUUUGUCUUUAAAAAAAAAAAUUAAAAAAAGACUGACAAGGACAGUUUUGAGUUGGAAGUGAAACAGUGGUAUCUCCAUAAUCAGAGUGGUUCCUUGGAGACCUAGGUGUAUAGUUGAGGGUGCGUGCCCUGCCCUUUCUCCCAAAAGCCCAUUGCAGUUUUGCUAUUGUUUAGGGUAGGUUUUUGUUCUUGUUACAUUUUUGUUUUGUUUUUUUGUUUUAGUGGAAUCAAUGUUCACUCCCUAUGAACUCUGUCCCGUGAAACCCUGAGCUCUUUUCUAGAAACGGAGAUAUUGUUUUCCUUCUUGAAUUUUCUUGAGAAAUGCAGAAGUCGGGAAGAUGGUGGGUACAUGUCACCCUGUUCGCCUCUCCCCAGUGCUGACCCCCAAGAGUAUUGCCGGUGCAGCACCCGCCGUCCGCAGGACCACGUGUUUUGUCCCGCGUUGGUGGGCACCGUCACCUCUGCUGUGUUGAGAAGACCUGCGUCAAAACUUACGUCCCACAUCUGUACGUCCCACGACCCAUCACCUGCGGUGUCAACCCCAAAAUGCUCACUGUAUUGAGCUGGUCUUCUGCAUUGAAGUAUCCCCCCUUUUAUUGUCCCCACUGUGUGUGGGGGGAGGGUCCAUAAACCUGAGUGUGCCUUUGCUUUCCACCCUUGCUAGACACUGGUAGAUGCAACAAACUCAGAUUUAUAUUUGUUGUAAAGUUGUAAAAAUAUUGUGAUGUCACCAAUUCUCUUCCAUUUCCACAUCCCCUAACAUCUGAUUCACGACUUAAUGUAUGUUUUAAAAAAGGAAAAAAAAGAAAGAAAAGAAAAGAAAAGAAAAACAGCAAGGAAAAGGCUCUUUAUUACUUAAAAGUAAUAAAACCAGACUGUUACAUUA